GAAGGGGUGAGGCUGAGGCCGGGGGCGACCGCAGCUUAUAAUUGAGACCCAGAGGCGGCUCUAGAGGGAGCGCGCCUCACAACUGCAGAGGGGAGCUCUGCAAGGAAGGCUCCUUUCUCCCCGCGGCAGACGGCGCCCGGAGCCUCGCGGUCGUCCCCGAGCCGGGGCCUGGGGCACGAUCCCUGCGGAGGCGAGCCUGGUGAGAUGGGCAGCAUUAUAAGGAAGACUCCGAGGUUCAUAGAAAUUUGAGCGACUCAACCAAGGUCACAGAAUGAGUGAGUGGGCGAUCCACCGACAGGUGCCCGGGGGACUGCGCAGCUGCUUCCUGUGUGUACUGAAUGUUCUCUAGGCCCUCUUAGUGCAGGAACCCUGAGUGGUACGAGUCAAAGUGGAAACAGCAGGGAAGAAAUAGAUAACCUUUGAUGAAAGGUACUCUGUAUAUUUUGUAUACAAACUUGUCCUAUUAGUAUGCUUUUGUAGUGUUAAAAAUCGAGGCUCAAGUUAAAGAAAAGAAAGGGAACUGUAUUUGAAAUGGUAAUCAGAGCUAUUAGC